UCUGCCGUUCUUCUCUGGGCUGUCUUCUCUGGCCCUGGCUAUGGAGGUCUGAAGCUAAAGGAUCAGCCUGCUUCCUGCUCCAGGUAAGUGUGACUAGCAUGGCCCUGGAGACAGCCCCCGACCCUGGUUUUUCUCCUCUGGUGACCAUCAAAGCUGACAUCACAAUUUGAUUAACACAGUGACCUUUCAUAGGGCCAUUACCAUGAACAAGAUAAGGCAUGCCAAGCACUUAGCACAGUGCCAGAGACCCUGGAUGCCCAGUUUAGCUACUGUUAGAUUUACUAUUUACUGGGUCAGAUCUCUUCCAUUAAUGCUAUUUAGCCCCACUCCUUUGCCCUGGGGUGAGCUACUUGACCUUCUCACAUGACCUGAUGUCCUCCUAUCUUUUGAGAACAGACAAUAUAGUAUAGGACCUUUGGUUCUCUGCUUGGUGCUGGCCCAGAGUGACCUCAUCUAAGUCACUUCUGCUCCCCAAGUCUGUUUGGUCAUCUGUCAAUUGACGUACUUGUUCUAAACCAGAGCUCCCCACUAGAUUGCUGUGCCACAUUGCUGAGUCACAACUAAGUUACCUGUGUGUUGAGGGGGCAAAUCCCUCAGCCCUUGAGAUGCCUGGGUGGGUCAGGAUAGCCCCUGGCAAGGUCUCCUCUAACUGCGAGUAGCCUGUGCUAUUGACUCCAGCAUGCAGAGCAAAUAUUGCCAUUUUAUCUGUGUGCUAUAAUGUAAAAAAGGAAAAGUUGACAAGCCCUAGAAAUCAUUCUUGAUAUGCUAAUACUCUGAAUCAUCUCCUAGCUUCAAAACUUGCCUAUUCCAAGAAGUCUGCCCGCCCCCACAGCAUCAUUCAAUGAUAUUUCUUCAUCAGGGUCUUCUCAGCAGUUAUGAGCUGCAUUCGCCUGGAAUGAAUGAAUUAAUUUGUACUUCUUAAUAUGUGACCUGUGGGCUGUUUCCUGUAACAACAAUGGCAGUGACAACAACUCCUCUCACUUAUUGAGCACGUGGGUAGCAGACAGCUCACAAAGUGCUUUGCUAUUUGCUUCCACAAUAGUGUGUGAGGGAUGCGUGCACUGUUGUGUAUGCACACACGGAAAGCCUGAGACUUAGAUAGCUGGAAACAAUUGCCCAAAUAGGAAGUGGCUGAGUGAUGACUUGGAUGUGAGUCUGCCUGGCCUGACGUAGUCCGUGCUCUUAAGCAGUUAAGUAGUAUGUCUUGUGUGUGUGUGUGUGUGUGUGUGUGUCCUUCUCCCAGUUAAACUAUUGAUCUCCCAAAAGAGAUAGUGUUUUCUGCAUUCUUUCCAUCUCCCCAGAGCUCAAAAUGAUAAUAGUACGAGCUCAGUGAUUACUGUUGGGCAUGUUAGACACUUUGUUGUAAGUUAAAAGUGAAGUAUGGAAUAGCCUUCCCUGGGUCACAGACAGAAGGCACAACUGACCGCUAGUGUUGCCUGGGUGUAGGUGGGUGUGUGAAGUCUUAUUGGGACCGUGGCACAGAGGAGCCUCCCAGCCCCGCCUGCCCCAGGUGGCUUGACUGCUGUUUCAGGGUAAAACGGACUUCACUAAGGGAAGUUCAGAACUGGAGAAUUCAUAAAGUGUGUCCCUCAAGCCAGGUACCCAGCACAUGAGACUUGGUCCCCGGCUUCCCACAGCUUCUCGUACAGUCAUGUCUUCUCUCUCUUUGAGAGGGGCAAGUAAGAGCCAGUGAUUGUCAUCUAGGAUUAGUGAGUCUUGGUAGCCUGGAGUGGGGAUCACAUAGCCAAGCAGUGCUCACUUGUGACCCUGGCCUCCAGUCUACAGCCCCUGUCUCCUCUCCCAUCAGUGGGAUUACGUGCUCAACCCUUCUUCCUUCCCUCCUUCCUUGGGUUUAAUGUCCUCACCUGGCCUUCCCACUGCUUGGCUUCUAGUUGGGUCCUAUAAAGGACCUCGGACUCUUGGUUAGUUGUCUUUGAGUGGCUCUAGGAAGCCCCCAUCCCACUCUUCUUUCUCCUGAACAACCAAACCACACACAUAUGUGUGAUGUGGUUAAGAAUCAGACAGUCCUGCAUUUGACUCUCUGCUCUAACUCUGAUUAGUAUGUAACUUUGGAUAAGUUCAUCAAUAUUCGCUUAGGAAAUAUUUACUGAGUACCUACUAUGUGCCACAUACUAUUCCAGGUACUGGACAUGUGGUGAUACAGUGUGGAGUAUAAAACAGGCAGGUGCAUGCUUGUGAAGGUGGUCAGGUAAGGUCUCCUUGAGUUGAAGUCUGAAUGAUGAUAAAGAGGUAAUAUGGAGGAAGAACAUUCUAUUGAGACAGAGGAAACAACCAGUGCAAAGGCCCUGAGGCACAAAAAGGACUGACACAUUCAAUAGAUUUACAGGGUGUUGCCUUACUGGAGAAUGAAUUGCAGAUCAUCAAGAGUGGCAGUAAGGAGACCAGUGAGAAGUCUACUGUAAAGGUCCAGCCGGUCCUAGACUGGAUUGAGACCAACUACAGUAGAGACGUGGGCUGGGAGCUUGACUGUCGGAAAACUUGGAUUAUGAUCUCCAGACUUCCUCCUACCAAGAAGAGCAUGAGUUUUGAGUCGGAGAGCUCUGGGUUUCCAGGGGGUGAGUAGAAGGAGCUGUUUUCCCAUGCCCCACCCACAUGAUCCUGGAAAUGGAGAGGAACCCAAGAUGCUCUGGGUUAGGGACAGGCCUGUGUGACCUUGUGUUUUAACAAAUGGAUCACAAACAAUCCAACCCCCACCUCUCCAGCUUUCCUCACCCAGUCGGAGUUCUCCGCUCCACAUCAACGCCUCUCCCGCUGGCAAGUGGUCCCUGCCAGCUCUCACACAUCAAUUUAAGAAACAGGCUGUGGAAGUGAGCAGAGUAGCAGGCUGUGACUGGGAAGGUAGAAUAUGAGAAGGGAAGAGACGAAACAAUCUUCCCUGUUGCUCCUUUAUCUCUUCAUGGAUGCCUUUACCUUUUAUUUUUAAGUUUUAUUAAAAUAUAAUUGACAUACAAUAUUCUGAACAUAUUUAAACUAUACCAUUUGAUGAGUUUUGACAUACAUAUAUUUGAGAUAAUGAACAUAUCCAUCAUUUCCAAAAGUUUCUUUGUGCCCCUUUGAAAUCCCUCUCUCCUGCACCCCCCACCCCCAAUCCCUAGGCAACCACUAAUCUGCUUUCUGUCACUAUAGAUUCAUUUGCAUUUCCUACAAUUAUAUAAAUGGAAGCUACAAUAUGCACACAUUUUGUCUGCCUUCUUUCACUCAGCAUAAUUAUUUUGAGAUCCAUCUGUGUUGUAGU